rnacentral:misc_RNA from 1 species
AUUCUGUGCUAUCUAAUCGCUUGGAUUUCUCUCGAUCAAAAGAUCGUCCAGAUUGUUUGAAUAUGGAUAGCUGGAAUUAGGGUGCUAGAGCAUGUGAAGUGCCGGCUGGAAAAGGGAAAAGGAAGUGUAUAAAUAUAGACAGCAUUAAUUCAGGAGAAAGCAUGCUUUUGGAAUCUGAAAUUUUCUUUGGUUAAGAGAGGCAGAGUAUUAUCUGCAUGGGGCUGAGUUCUUGGGGUUGUCUAUCAGCCUUUUUCUUGUUCAUUUCUUUGUUCUUAGUAUUGAUUGUAUUUGAGAGGAAGAAGAGUACUGUAUUUGUUGAAUCUGAGCUAAGCUUUAUUAUUGAAUCAAUAUCAAUGACAUUGCCUAUUUACAAUUUUCUUUUCAAUCUCUAUUACUCUAUUCCUUGUCUAUUACAGAGACAGAGAGAAGGAAAAAUCUUUGGCAUUGACUAGCGGAAUCUGGAGUUUACUAAUAGAUUGGACUAUUGUUGAGCAAUUUUAAAAGAAUUAACACUUGAUUUUAAAAAAUUUUACUUUUGAUUGUAAAAGCAAUUUUACUUUUAGAACUUCAAGCAUUGUUAUCAUAUCAAUAAAUUGGUAUGAAUUGAUUCAGCAAAAACCGAGGGAAAAUAAACAAGCAAUACCAAAGAAUAGUACCUUUCUUAACAUUGUUUAUGGCUCAAAGCUAAUAUGCUAAGCAAGAAAGUAUGACCUGCUGAAAAAACAUCUUUAUGACAAUAACUCAAUAAGUACUAGCAGGCAAUAUGGUACAGUAUAAGAUGUUCAAAAGGACAAAUUAUCACGAUGAACUGAUAAAUGCUAAAGAAAAUACCUGAAAUCGUCAAUUAGAAUAAUUAUUUCAAGUGCCAACAACGGAAUAAAGACAACCUUCAGGUUAACAACUACAACACGAUGAACUUGUACGAAGAGAAAUGGCCUAGCAGAAACUGAGAGAACCGAUGGAAUGAGGAAAGGGAAGAGAGUUGGGUACCCAAAGUUA